rnacentral:RNase_P_RNA from 1 species
UUUUGCCGAGAGGAAAGUCCGGGCAGCGCGAGCCACCAUGCUUCCUAACGGGAAGGCGGCACAGCACCCCAAGGUCGUGCCGACAGAGAGCGCCACAGAAAAGAAACCGCCCGAAAGGGUAAGGGUGAAAACGCGGGGUAAGAGCCCACGACACGUCCCGGCGACGGGCGCGAUGGCAAGCCUCAUGGGCUGAAAGACCAAGUAAACCGGCAAAUGUCUCGGGCUGGCUCGCCCGAAAAGCCGCAAGGCUGUUGUCGGAGGGUAGGUCGAUAGAGACCGUCGGCGACGGCGGCCCCAGAUUGAUGAUAGAAGCCCGCAAGGGUGACAGAACCCGGCUUACAGGCCC